AGAGUUUGAUCAUGGCUCAGGACGAACGCUGGCGGCGUGCUUAAAACAUGCAAGUCGAACGAACACUUCGGUGUUAGUGGCAAACGGCUGAGUAACGCGUGGGUGACCUGCCUGGAAGUGGGGAAUAACUGCCCGAAAGGGUGGCUAAUACCGCAUGUGAUGGAUGUUCCGUUACAUCCAUGAAAGUCUUCGGAUGCUUCGAGAGGGGCCCGCGUUCGAUUAGCUAGUUGGUGGGGUAACGGCCUACCAAGGCGACGAUCGAUAGCUGGUCUAAGAGGAUGAUCAGCCAGACUGGGACUGCGACACGGCCCAGACUCCUACGGGAGGCAGCAGUUAGGAAUUUUGGGCAAUGGGCGAAAGCCUGACCCAGCAACGCCGCGUGGGUGAUGAAGGCCUUCGGGUCGUAAAGCCCUUUUUCAGGGGAAGAUGAUGACGGUACCCUGAGAAUAAGCCCCGGCUAACUACGUGCCAGCAGCCGCGGUA
rnacentral:rRNA from 1 species